GCCACCGUGGCUUAGUGGUAUAGCACCUCAUUGGUAAUGAGGAGGUCGCGAGUUCAAGUCUCGCCGGUGGCUCCA
rnacentral:tRNA from 2 species